rnacentral:rRNA from 1 species
AGUGAACGCUGGCGGUAGGCCUAACACAUGCAAGUCGAACGGCAGCACAGUAAGAGCUUGCUCUUACGGGUGGCGAGUGGCGGACGGGUGAGGAAUACAUCGGAAUCUACUUUUUCGUGGGGGAUAACGUAGGGAAGCUUACGCUAAUACCGCAUACGACCUACGGGUGAAAGCAGGGGAUCUUCGGACCUUGCGCGAUUGAAUGAGCCGAUGUCGGAUUAGCUAGUUGGCGGGGUAAAGGCCCACCAAGGCGACGAUCCGUAGCUGGUCUGAGAGGAUGAUCAGCCACACUGGAACUGAGACACGGUCCAGACUCCUACGGGAGGCAGCAGUGGGGAAUAUUGGACAAUGGGCGCAAGCCUGAUCCAGCCAUACCGCGUGGGUGAAGAAGACCUUCGGGUUGUAAAGCCCUUUUGUUGGGAAAGAAAAGCAGCAGGUUAAUACCCCGCUGUUCUGACGGUACCCAAAGAAUAAGCACCGGCUAACUUCGUG